AUUGAACGCUGGCGGCAGGCCUAACACAUGCAAGUCGAGCGGAUGAAGGGUGCUUGCUCCUGGAUUCAGCGGCGGACGGGUGAGUAAUGCCUAGGAAUCUGCCUGGUGGUGGGGGAUAACGUCCGGAAACGGGCGCUAAUACCGCAUACGUCCUGAGGGAGAAAGUGGGGGAUCUUCGGACCUCACGCUAUCAGAUGAGCCUAGGUCGGAUUAGCUAGUUGGUGGGGUAAAGGCCUACCAAGGCGACGAUCCGUAACUGGUCUGAGAGGAUGAUCAGUCACACUGGAACUGAGACACGGUCCAGACUCCUACGGGAGGCAGCAGUGGGGAAUAUUGGACAAUGGGCGAAAGCCUGAUCCAGCCAUGCCGCGUGUGUGAAGAAGGUCUUCGGAUUGUAAAGCACUUUAAGUUGGGAGGAAGGGCAGUAAGUUAAUACCUUGCUGUUUUGACGUUACCAACAGAAUAAGCACCGGCUAACUUCGUG
rnacentral:rRNA from 1 species